rnacentral:rRNA from 1 species
CACAAGCGGUGGAGCAUGUGGUUUAAUUCGAAGCAACGCGAAGAACCUUACCAGGUCUUGACUAUCCUUUUGAAUGGUCUAGAGAUAGAUCAGGCCUUCGGGACAGAAGAGACAGGUGGUGCAUGGUUGUCGUCAGCUCGUGUCGUGAGAUGUUGGGUUAAGUCCCGCAACGAGCGCAACCCUUAUCAUUAGUUGCUAACAUUCAGUUGAGAACUCUAAUGAGACUGCCAGUGAUAAACUGGAGGAAGGUGGGAUGACGUCAAAUCAUCAUGCCCCUUAUGACCUGGGCUACACACGUGCUACAAUGGCCGGUACAAAGAGUUGCGAAACUGUGAAGUUAAGCUAAUCUCAUAAAGCCGGUCUCAGUUCGGAUUGUAGUCUGCAACUCGACUACAUGAAGUCGGAAUCGCUAGUAAUCGCGAAUCAGAAUGUCGCGGUGAAUACGUUCUCGAGUCUU